rnacentral:rRNA from 1 species
UCGGGAAUUUUGGGCAAUGGGCGAAAGCCUGACCCAGCAACGCCGCGUGAAGGAUGAAGUAUUUCGGUAUGUAAACUUCGUAAGAAUAGGAAGAAUAAAUGACGGUACUAUUUGUAAGGUCCGGCUAACUACGUGCCAGCAGCCGCGGUAAUACGUAGGGACCAAGCGUUGUUCGGAUUUACUGGGCGUAAAGGGCGCGUAGGCGGUGUGUCAAGUCAGUUGUGAAAUCUCCGAGCUUAACUCGGAACGGUCAACUGAUACUGUCACACUAGAGUACAGAAGGGGCAAUCGGAAUUCUUGGUGUAGCGGUGAAAUGCGUAGAUAUCAAGAGGAACACCGAUGGCGAAGGCAGGUUACUGGGCAGUUACUGACGCUGAGGAUCGAAAGCAUGGGUAGCGAACAGGAUUAGAUACCCUUGUAGUCCCUGAGCGGGCUGGCAAGGCGCAU